GGGACACUCAAAUGUGGCAGCGCUCUUCUGUAAUCAAGGUAGAAAGUGCUACGACAUUUGAGGGUCGC
rfam:Dipodomys ordii contig_54139, whole genome shotgun sequence.